GACGAACGCUGGCGGCGUGAUUAACACAUGAAAGUCGAACGGUAAGGCCCUUCGGGGUACACGAGUGGCGAACGGGCGAGUAACACGCGGCUGUUCUAUCCUACACUUCGGGAUAAGUCUGGGAAACUGGGUCUAAUACCGGAUAGGACCCUGGCAUGCAUGUGCUGGGGUUGAAAGCUUUUGCGGUUGGGGAUGGGCCCGCGGCCUAUCAGGUUGUUGGUGGGUUGAUGGCGUACCUAGGCGACGACGGGUAGGCGGCCUGUAAGGGUUACCGGCCACACUGGAACUGAGAUACGACCCAGACUCCUACGGGGGGCAGCUAUGGGGAAUAUUGCGCAAUAGGCGCAAGCCUGAUGCAGCUACGCCGCGUGAGGGAUGACUGCCUUCGGGUUGUAAACCUCUUUCAGCACCGACGAAGCGCAAGUGACGGUAGGUGCAGAAGAAGGACCGGCCAACUACGUGCCAGCAGCCGCGGUAA
rnacentral:rRNA from 1 species